rnacentral:rRNA from 1 species
UGGGCGAAAGCCUGAUCCAGCAACGCCGCGUGAGUGAUGAAGGCCCUAGGGUUGUAAAGCUCUUUUACCCGGGAUGAUAAUGACAGUACCGGGAGAAUAAGCUCCGGCUAACUUCGUGCCAGCAGCCGCGGUAAUACGAGGGGAGCUAGCGUUGUCCGGAAUCACUGGGCGUAAAGGGCGCGUAGGCGGCUGGGUAAGCGUGUGGUGAAAGCCCGGGGCUCAACCCCGGGUCGGCCAUGCGAACUGUCCAGCUGGAGCACGGGAGGGNCCCAUGGAAUUCCGGGUGUGGCGGUGGAAUGCGUAGAGAGCCGAAAGAACACCGGUGGCAAAGGCGGUGUGCUGGGCCGUGGC